UUCCUGAUGGCUCAGUUGGUAUAAAGAACCUGCCUGCAAUGCAGGAGACCUAGGUACAGAUCCUGGGUCUCGAAG
rnacentral:tRNA from 1 species